CAAGAAAAGGUCAGGAUAGCUCAGUUGGUAGAGCA
rnacentral:tRNA from 3 species